UACAAAGGAAUUGACGGGGCCGCACAAGCGGUGGAGCAUGUGGUUUAAUUCGACGCAACGCGAAGAACCUUACCAGGGCUUGACAUCCCCUGACCGCGUAUGAAAGUACGUUUUCACCCUCGGGUGACAGGGAGACAGGUGGUGCAUGGUUGUCGUCAGCUCGUGUCGUGAGAUGUUGGGUUAAGUCCCGCAACGAGCGCAACCCCUACGUUUAGUUGCUAACAGGUGAAGCUGAGCACUCUAGACGAACUGCCGUUGACAAAACGGAGGAAGGUGGGGAUGACGUCGAGUCAUCAUGCCCCUUAUGUCCAGGGCUUCACGCAUGCUACAAUGGCCGGUACAAAGAGCUGCGAACCUGCAAGGGUGAGCGAAUCUCAAAAAGCCGGUCUCAGUUCGGAUUGGGGUCUGCAACUCGACCCCAUGAAGUCGGAGUCGCUAGUAAUCGCAGAUCAGCAACGCUGCGGUGAAUACGUUCCCGGGGCUU
rnacentral:rRNA from 1 species